GACGAACGCUGGCGGCGUGCCUAAUACAUGCAAGUCGAACGCAGUGGGGACGGGUGAGUAACACGUGGGUAACCUCCCAUCAGAGGGGAUAACACUUGGAAACAGGUGCUAAUCCGAUACGUGUGGAUGGACCCGGGGGGCAUUAGCUAGUUGGGGGGGUAACGGCUCACCAGGGCCAAGAUGCAUAGCCGAUCUGAGAGGGUGAUCUGCCACACUGGGACUGAGACACGGCCCAGACUCCUACGGGAGGCAGCAGUGGGGAAUCUUGGGCAAUGGACGAAAGUCUGACCGAGCAACGCCGCGUGAGUGAAGAAGGUUUUCGGAUCGUAAAACUCUGUUGUUAGAGAAGCGGUAUCUAACCAGAAAGCAACGGCUAACUACGUGCCAGCAGCCGCGGUAAUUC
rnacentral:rRNA from 1 species